rnacentral:rRNA from 1 species
GACGAACGCUGGCGGCGUGCUUAACACAUGCAAGUCGAACGGAAAGGCCCUGCUUUUGUGGGGUGCUCGAGUGGCGAACGGGUGAGUAACACGUGAGUAACCUGCCCUUGACUUUGGGAUAACUUCAGGAAACUGGGGCUAAUACCGGAUAGGAGCUCCUGCUGCAUGGUGGGGGUUGGAAAGUUUCGGCGGUUGGGGAUGGACUCGCGGCUUAUCAGCUUGUUGGUGGGGUAGUGGCUUACCAAGGCUUUGACGGGUAGCCGGCCUGAGAGGGUGACCGGCCACAUGGGGACUGAGAUACGGCCCAGACUCCUACGGGAGGCAGCAGUGGGGAACAUGGCACAAUGGGCGGAAGCGUGAGGCAGCAACGCCGGGUGCGGGAUGACGGCCUUCGGGUGGUAAACCGCUUUCGACGGUGACGAAGCGUGAGUGACGGUAAUGGGUAAAGAAGCACCGGCUAACUACGUG